AACGAACGCUGGCGGCAUGCCUAACACAUGCAAGUCGAACGAUGACUUCGGGCAUAGCGGCGCACGGGUGCGUAACGCUUGGGAAUCUGCCCAUGAGUUCGGAAUAACGGUUAGAAAUGAAUGCUAAUACCGCAUGAGUUCUCCCUGAGAAAGAGUGGGGUCUUCAGAUUUAUCGGGCUGGGAUGAGCCCGCGUAGGAUUAGUUAGUUGGUGGGGUAAUGGCCUACCAAGGCGACGAUCCGUAGCUGGUCUGAGAGGAUGAUCAGCCACACUGGGACUGAGACGCGGCCCAGAAUCUUAGGGGAGGCAGGAGAGGGGAAUAUUGGACGACGGGGGGAACCCUGAUGCAGCAAUGCCGGGUGAGUGAUGAAGGCCGUAGGGAAGUAAAGCUCUUUAACAAGGGACGAUAAUGACGGUACCUGGAGAAUAAGCACCGGCUAACUCCGUG
rnacentral:rRNA from 1 species